rnacentral:tRNA from 1 species
CGCUCAGUAGGUUAGUGGUAGACUUACAGACUCUAAAUCUGGAUGCAACGGUUCGAAUCCGUUCUGAGUGA